AAAAAGACAAACGCUGGUUUUUAUGUCCAACGUUUGACCGUACAUCUUAUUUAAAAAAAUUAUAAAAAAAAUUAAAAAGACAAGUCACGCAUAAAAUAUUAAUCAUGUUUUAUCAUCUAACAACAAUGAAAAUACGAAUUAUAAAAAAAAAUUUAUAAGACAGACAGUUAAAAUUGAACACGGAAACCCAGUGUUUAUCUUUUU
rfam:Oryza sativa Japonica Group DNA, chromosome 1, cultivar: Nipponbare, complete sequence.